AACUCUAUCUCAGUAUCACUGACCAUUUAACUCUAGAGUUAGCUGACCAUUUAACUCUAGAGUUAAAUGGUCAGCGAUACUGACA